rnacentral:rRNA from 1 species
CCUACGGGAGACAGCAGUGGGGGAUAUUGCACAAUGGGGGAAACCCUGAUGCAGCGACGCCGCGUGGGCGAAGAAGUAUUUCGGUAUGUAAAGCCCUAUCAGCAGGGAAGAAGAAAUGACGGUACCUGAGUAAGAAGCACCGGCUAAAUACGUGCCAGCAGCCGCGGUAAUACGUAUGCUGCAAGCGUUAUCCGGAUUUACUGGGGGUAAAGGGAGCGCAGGCGGCACGGCAAGCCUGAUGUGAAAGCCCGCGGCCCAACCGCGGGACUGCAUUGGGAACUACCGGGCUGGAGUGCCGGAGAGGUAGGAGGAAUUCCUAGUGUAGCGGUGAAAUGCGUAGAUAUUAGGAGGAACACCAGUGGCGAAGGCGGCCUACUGGACGGUGACUGACGCUGAGGCUCGAAAGCGUGGGGAGCAAACAGGAUUAGAUACCCCAGUAGUC